rnacentral:lncRNA from 1 species
GGCUUCUUUUCUGUGGGCGUGGCCAAGGCAGCGGGGGUUUAUGACAAAGUUGAGCGACCUCAUGUCACUCAAACCAGCUGUAUUAAGGAAGGUGCAAGCUUUUGGGAUUUCUGUUUGGAUUUAGUUUAGGUUCAAAAGAGCACGCACAGAUCCUGAGUGUUGUCAAGCACCCGUGACUGGGAAACGGAGGCGUCCGAUCCGUAUUGGAGUCAAUUCGCCACUUAAUUGAACACAGCCUCGAAGGGAAGGGCCAUAUUUGUGGGCCUGUCUAACAAUUAAGAGUGACCACAUGGAAUGGGGGAUGAAAGGGUUAAAGAAGAACAAAUAUUGAACACAGCUUUUCUAUGAACAAACUGCAGGCAGCUGCUGCUUUGCAAGUUUCAGGGGUUACUCCAUCAUUAUCAUGGCAGGGAACAUGGCAGGAUGCAGGCAGAUGGUAGCUGAGAGUUCUACAUCUGGAUCCACAGGAAGCAGUUGAUUGAGAAUAAUGGUUCUGUUUUGGAGGUUGAUGGAAGAUGCCCUUUGGCCAGGAAAACAGCUCAUGCUUUUAGAGGAGGAUAAUUGCCAGAAGGCCUCUCUGAAUAAAAAAAAAUCCUGACCUCACAGCCUUUGCGCUUACUUGGGUUAGAAUGCCACAGUGAACAUUGCCCCUUGUCAUCACGUAGAGGUGCUCACAGGUAAAGCAACACAAGGAGCAUAUAGGAUCACCUGCUGGAUCUUGUUUUUAACACCAGGGAGGAAAAUGGUGUCUUGGGUAAUGAACAUGCCUCAAGACUGAGCUGGCCAUCUUCAGUGUCAUCCAAACCCUCAGUGGCCCCUGAAAAACCCUUUGAAAAGAUUCAGCACGUUGCCAUGGAGAACAUCCCACUGAAGGAAUGUAUAGAAGUAGCAGGGUUAACUGAGUGCCUUCCAUCUUCCCUCCAAGGGAUCUGCAAUGAGAUGGGAGAAGGCAACAGGCUGUGUGGGAACCACUGAAGCUGGGAUGGCAGGGAAAGAACAUCUUAGGCUAACUCUUCAAGCCUUGCUGUCACAUUUGCUUUUGAGUCUAUGGUGUCAGCUGCCUACCAGUUGCUUUCAUCUCUAGAAAUCUGUGACUUGCAGUAUGACAAGAACAAAAGGUGACAAUACAAAGGACAAAGGGCAAGGAAUACAGACGGAGAAGCCGCUUAGAGUCUAGGAUGGCAGAGGUUCUCUUGAUCAUUUCAUUUUUGAGCGCUUGUAGAGCUUUGGUGUACCAGAGGUGCUUGAACAGCUUACCACACCACAGAUGAAUGGCCUUUGGAUUUCUCCUAAGAAAAUGUGGCUACCUGAAAUUCAACUCCAUUUUCUGGUCUUCAAUAUUUCUUUUGUGUUCAGUUUGCCAGCUGAGGAGAAGUGGCUAAGCAUAGCCUGUUACUGAUGCUAAAGCCCAAGUUCUGAACCUAACAACUCCAGCAACAUGAUCCUGUUUCAAGAGACAAAAAAGUGACUAAUGAAAGAAAACAAUUGAUGUGCUAUGUAGAGUUUAAAAGAAGGUAAAGAGAAUAAAUUAAAAGCAACAACUC